GUUAAGGUUUUCUAAUUAAACGCAUUUUGUCCCAGAAAUCGCAUACAUGAUCGGGAACUGGCUCUACGAAGUUAUUGGUGAUGCAGACUAAUAGGAGGCGUAUCACUCCCACAACCCACAUGCUUAUUGUUCAGCUAUCUGCAAGAUUCUUCAUUGUCCAGGCCGAGUUGUUGAAGCUAAAGGUUAUUGGCGAAGCAGACUAAGGGGCGUUUCAUCCCCACAUUUCAUACAUGCUCAUUGUGCAAGUUUCAUUUCUGCCCAGGCCGUGUUGAAGAAAUUAAGAAUCGUUAGCGACGACCCCCGUGAUGGCACAUUCAGCUACCGCCGGUUCAGUCAAUGGCAUGUUCUGGGCGAGACCGAAUCAAUAAUUAAGGCUAUAGGAUUCCAGAAGGGCAGCCUUAUUAAGGUAGGAUUUUUCCAUUUUUUGCAUGUUGUAUAUUAUGUGGGGGGAAAGUGAAUAGUGCAGUGACCGCGAAAAAAGGAUCACCAUUAACAACUUUUAGCCGAUCUUCCCAUGUAAUAAGUGAGUGGUGGCCAUACCCUCUCAGCCUGUCAUCUUGGCGAUGAAAAAGGCUGCAAGUUGUCUCUUUCGUGGAGGAAAUCACUUACUUCAUAUUAAUCAGUGACUAUGAAUUCAUAGCCACGUCAUUUUAAUGAAGUAAACAGAUCUUCUCUGCGAAUGAGUCAAGAAGCAUUGGAGCCAUUUUUUUCAUUUUCAAGUUGGCUGUUUUUCGGGAUGUAUACCUCAUUUAUUAUCAGAGGAAGAUCAGCUUAACAGAUUAAAAAAAAAGGUGAGUCACUUAGAUCACCAAAGGCUGCGCUUAAGUUUAAAAUUGAGCACUGUUGUUUCAUGUGAUGGAAUUUCGACUCAAAUGGUGACUAGGAAAUGGCGUCGUGCCCCCCACAUGCCAGUUUUUCAGUUAACUGUAAGAUUCUUCUUUGUCCACGCCGAGUUGAUGAAGCUAAAGGACUGAAGUGGUGACUAAGAAACGACGUCCCUCCUCCCAGAUACCCGUUUUUCUGCUGCCUGCAAGAUUCAUCUUUGUUCAGACAGAGUUGAUGAAGCUAAACC